GGACGACCUGCUUGUCGAUAGGAGCUACCCACUUCAUGUCUUCAGAGAGCUGUUCUGUCACUCAAUAAAGCUCCUCUCUGCCUUGGUCACCCUCCAGUUGUCUGUGUAACCUCAUUCUUCCUGGAUGCAGGACAAGAACUUGGGAUCCACCAAACAGCAGGAGCCAAAGAAGCUGUAAUAUAUUCCUGGCUGGCUUAUGGAGCUUCAGACAGUGACACACUCCCAGACUGUGGGAAUGAAGAAUGGUGAUACUUCAGGGGGUGCAGACCUUGGGAUUCCCUGAGCCACAGAUGCAGUAACACUAUAGCUCUCUUGUCCUCUGCUGCCACCAGGCAGCCACCCAACACAACAGGAGAAAUGAGACUGAAAGAGCAGUAACAGAAAUGAGCUGAAACACACCCCCACAAAACAUUCCCUUUCUCUGCUUGCCACACUGUGGGUGAUGAGGAGAGAAGACCUGCAGACCUUCUGGAAGCAGAGCUGGGGGCUCCCUAAGCCAGGGCUGUGACAUGCUGUAAUACCCUUUUGAGGCUCUGCAGUUCCUGACAUCUCUGAACAAUCUGGCACCAUCACGUCCCCCUUGUCCAGGUGCUGGUCCCUGCAGCAGAAGCUGCUUGAGGAAGGACCUGGACAUCUCACACUCAGUGCCCUCCUUCCGGUAACAAGAUGAUACGUGUAAACUCCUUAACAUAGUGUCUAGCAGAGGAAGGUGAAAACCAACAUAAAGAAAUCCAGGAUAUGAAUGAACAAUUUUCAAAAGAGAUAGACAUCAUAAAGAAAAGUCAAUCAGAACUUUUGGAAAUGGAAGACACACUCAGAGAAAUGCAAAAUGCGGUGAAAAGUUUCAACAAUAGAUAAGAACAAGUAGAAGAAGGAAUUUCAGAGCUCAAAGACAAUGCUUUUGAGUUAAGCCAAUCAGACAAAGUUAAAGAAAAAAGAAUUUAAAAAUAAAGACUAGUGUCUUAACAAUGUGGGAUUAUGUAAAAUGGCCAAUAUAGGAAUAACUGGUGUUCCUGAGGGAGAAGAGGAGUCUAAAAGUUGGAAAAAUUUAUUUGAAGGAAUAAUUGAGGAAAACUCCCCUAGCCUAGUUAGAGAUCUAGGUAUCCAAAUACAAGAAGCUCAAAGAACUUCUGGGAAAUUCAUUGCAAAAUGAUCAUCACCAAGGCACAUAGUCAUCAUGCUAUCUAAAGUCAACAUGAAGGAAGAAUUUUAAGAGCUGUGAGACAAAAGCUCAGGUAACGUAUACAGGCAAACCUAUCAGGCUAACAGUAGAUUUCUCAGCAGAAACCUUCCAAGCCAGAAGGGAUGGAGGUCCUAUCUUUAGCUUCCAUAAACAAAAUAAUGGUCAGCCAAGAAUUUCGUAUCUAGCAAAACUAAGAUUUAUAAAUGAAGGAGAUACAAAGUGUCUCCUUCAGACAAACAAAUGGUAGUGCAAAUUCCCUCAGGCAAACAAAUGCUGAGGGAAUUUGCCACUACCAAAACCAGUACUACAAGAAAUGCUAAAAGGAGUUCUAAAUCUUGAAAGAAAAGCUUGAUAUGCACCAAAAUAGAACUUCCUUAAAUCACAAAUCUCACAGGGCCUAUAAAACAAUAACACAAUGAAAAAAAAAGUAUCUAGGUAACAACUAACAUAAUGAAUAGAACAGUACCUCACAUCUCAAUAUUAACAUUGAAUGUAAAUGGCCUAAAUGCUCCAUUUAAAAGAUAGAGAAUGGCAGAAUGGAUUAAAAAAAAUGCCAACCAAAUGUCUACUUCAAGAGACUCAUCUAACUCAUAGGGACCCAUAUAAAUUUAAGGUGAAGGAGUGGAAAAAGAUAUUCCAUGCAAAUGGAAACCAAAAGUGAGCAGAAAUAGUUAUUCUUAUGUCUGACAAACAGACUUUAAAGCAACAGUAGUAAAAAAAGACUAAGAAGGACACAUAUAAUGAUAAAAUAAUUAGUCCAAUAAGAUAUCACAAUCCUACAUUUAUAUGAACCUAACACUGGAGCUCCCAGAUUUAUAAAACAAUUACUACUAGGCCUAGGAAAUGAGAUACACAGCAAUACAAUAAUAGUGGGCGACUUCAACACUAUACUGCCAUUGAGAGAAAAAGUCAACAAACAUGGACUUAAACAAUUGUGAGAAUUAACAAAAUGAUGCCAUUUUUCUACCUUGGUGGCUGUGUUUCCUACCUUGGUAACAGUGUUCCCAAAAACAAGGCAAAAGUCAACCUCGCCCAUACCUUUAAUAGAACAUAACAACCCUGACUACGAUGAAGCCUGUCCGGCCCUUACCACAUCCUUACCCAGCCCCCUAUGCUUCCAACCUGCCAGCACUUCUCCAACCCUUCCCCUAUAGAAACUUCAUUAUAAAAACUCAACUUGUAAGUGAUCAGGGUCUCAGCCAGAUUCCUGACUGGAAUCCCUCGAGGGCUUAUUCUUGUAAAUAAACCUGUUUGGCCUAUGAGUUGCCUUCUCUCUCACUUCCUUUCUUCAAAAAUCUUCCCAACAACUAUACUCUAGAAAAAAUAGACCUAACAGAUAUUUACAGAACAUUCUACCCACAACUGCAGAAUAUGCAUUCUUCUCAUCAGUACAUGGAACAUUCUCCAAGAUACAUCAUAUGAUAGGUCACAAAACAAAUCUCAAUAAAUUUAAGAAAAUCCAAAUCAUAUAAAGUAUCUUCUCAGACCACAGUGGAAUAAAACUGGGAAUCAACUCCAAAAGAAAUCCUCAAAACUAAAUAAACACAUGGAAAUUAAAUAAUCUACUCUUGAAUUAUCUGGGGUUAGCAAUGAUACCAAGAAGAAAUUUACAAUUCUUUGAAAUAAAUGAUAAUAGCGACACAACCUAUCAGAACAUCUGGGAUAUAGCAAAAGUGGUGCUAAGAGGAAAAUUCAUAGUGUUAAAUGCCUGCAUCUAAAUGUCGAAAAGAGCACAAAUUGACAAACUAAUGUCACACCUCAAGGAACUAGAGAAACAAGAGCAAAACAAACCCAAACCCAGCAGAAGACAAGAAAUAACAAAAAUCAGAGCAGAACUAAAUGAAAUUGAAACAAAAAAAAUACAAUAAAUAAAAUUGAAAGCUAGUUCUUUGAAAACAUAAACAAAAUUGAUAAAUCAUUAGCAAGAUUAACCAAGAAAACAAGAGAGAAGAUCCAAAUAAGCUCAAUUAGAAAUGAAACAGGAAUUAUUAUAACCAAUACCACAGAAAUACAGAUCAUUCAAAGCUACUAUGAACAUCUUUAUGCACACAAACUAGAAAAUCUAGAGAAAAUGGAUCAUUUCCUAGAAAUAUAUAACUCCCCUAGAUUAAAUCAGGAAGGAAUAGAAACCCUGAAGAGACCAAUAACAUGCAGCGAGAUUGAAUCAGUAAUAAAAAAAAUUAAAUUGCCAACAAUAACAAACACGUCCAAGACCGGAUGGAUUCACAGCUGAAAUCUACCAGACAUUCAAAGAAUUGGUACCAAUCCUACUAAAAAUAUUCUAAAAGAUAGAAAAAGAAGAAAUCCUCCCUAAAUCAUUCUAUAAGGCUAGUAUUACCCUAAUACCAAAAUCAAGACAGGACAUAACAAAAAAAAGAAAACUACAGACCAAUAUCCCUGAUGAAGAGAGUUGCAAAAAUCCUUAACAAAAUACUAGCUAACCAAAU
rnacentral:lncRNA from 10 species